UCUCGAUAGCGUAAAAGUUAACUCAAAUUUGUAUGGAGUCGGAACGUUUGCCUAAAUUUGCCACUAAAGGCGCUGUUCCAACUGCAUACAAAAUUGGGCUAACUUUUACGCUAUCGA
rnacentral:pre_miRNA from 9 species